GUGCCAGCAGCCGCGGUAAUACAGAGGGUGCAAGCGUUGUUCGGAAUUACUGGGCGUAAAGCGCGUGUAGGCUGCGAUGUAAGUCGGACGUGAAAGCCCUUGGCUUAACCAAGGAAGUGCAUCCGAUACUGUGUCGCUUGAGUACCGGAGGGGAUGGCGGAAUUCCCGGUGUAGAGGUGAAAUUCGUAGAUAUCGGGAGGAACACCUGUGGCGAAGGCGGCCAUCUGGACGGUAACUGACGCUGAGACGCGAAAGCGUGGGUAGCAAACAGGAUUAGAAACCCUCGUAGUCC
rnacentral:rRNA from 1 species